CUUGUCGCGUCUCUCGACACACCGCAUGGGUAGUAAUAUGUGAGCGACCUGAAGCAGAAAUGCUAGACAGUACAUUAAGUGCUAAACGUGACCCAGCGUAACUUUUCCUAAACUGGCCCUCAGCCGUAAUUUCUACGACGAGUUAGAUUAAAUAUAGGCACUCUGGAUGACGGAGCAGGAGAAGGAGUCUCGACUUAUCGCUUUUCCGAUUGAUGUUCGGGUCCUUACUGAAGCAUCAAUGUGUGCUUGUCUACGCCCAGAUUCAAAUCUACAGUUUUUCCGAGCGCUGGCCAAUUGUCAGCUGCGACUCCGGUCGGUUCAUGGAUUUAGGGAAAAACAACAAAGGAACUGAAAAAAUGGUC